rnacentral:rRNA from 1 species
CUACGGGUCGCAGCAGGCGCGGAACCUUUACAAUGCACGCAAGUGUGAUAAGGGAACCCUCAGUGCUCAUGUUUUACAUGGGCUUUUGCCAAGCGUAAAUAGCUUGGCGAAUAAGUGGUGGGUAAGACUGGUGCCAGCCGCCGCGGUAACACCAGCGCCACGAGUGGCAACCACGUUUAUUGGGCCUAAAGCGUCCGUAGCCGGCUUGGUAAAUCUCUUGUGAAAUCGUCAGGCUUAACCUGACGGCGCGCUCGAGACACUGCCUCGCUUGAGACCGGGAGGAGUGAGAGGUAUUCCUGAGGGAGCGGUAAAAUGUGAUAAUCUCAGGAGGAUCACCUAUGGCGAAGGCAUCUCACCAGAACGGAUCUGACGGUCAGGGACGAAGGCUAGGGGAGCGAUCCGGAUUAGAUACCCGAGUAGUC